GGUAGCUCCCAAGAGUUCUUUCUGCCUUCACCGCACUCAUGACUUCAAAGCACAUUCAUCUACAGACCACUCCACAGAGGAGAACUGAUGAUCUCUUGGACAUGAGGACUGGUGUUUGCCUCUCAUGGGUUUCCUCUGUGCAUCAGACAAGGAACUGUCAACAGAAGAGGGAACUGAGAGAGACAUUAAAGUCCAGGUUAGCUCACAAGACAGUGGAGAGAUCUAAAGAACUCAAUUGGAAUCAAGAUGGAUUUAGGCAAAAUCUUCCCCCUACACACACCAAAAGGAUGUUUAUCAAUUUAUUUGACAGCCAUGGAGACUGUUGCUGACUUUUUGCCUCCAUGACUGCGAUGACAAAAUACCAUCAAAUGCUGGACUCGAAGGAAGUCACCUGGUUCCUGAAGCUGCCCUGCCUGUCUUGCCAGGCUUCGAUCAUGAGAUUGCUAACAUACUGAACCUCACGCUGGAAGACAGAAACUCGAUUAGUGAAUAGACUUCAGAAGUGAAAGCCUGAAAGAUAAAUGAUAGAUAGAGAUAAAGAAAAGGAGGAUAGGUAGACACAAACAGAAGAGGGUUGCCAGGUGAAAUCAUUUCAUUAGUAAAAAUAGAAAUGUGGGACCUUUGUCUAUGACCACGUUAGACUAUGGACACAACCUACCACUGCCAAGGAAUCUGCUUAUGCCAAUCAACUCUCUCUGUUGGAUAACUUCCCAAUGAUGGACACAUAUGACAAGACUCCUACAUGGGGGGUUUGAGUGUUAUAUGCACGUGUGCAUGUGCAUAGCAUGCAUGUGUGCCUAGUUGAAAUUAUUAGCCAAGUCAAUUGUAAUUUGGCCACUACUGCUGAUUUCAUAGAAUUCUCAAGACCAUGCUGGAGACCCACCAGAUGUUCGCAGCCCCUACUACCCAUAAGAGGACUAGACUACUCUGAGGGAAUGAUUCAGGGGGCUGCCCAUCUCCACCAUUCAUCCAUCAUAACUUCUUCACUCUGUGGGUCAAGGUAGUUUUGAUUUAUGCAUAACUGGGUCAGGAAUUAAAAGAGAUUAUUUAAUU